CUAUGAGGAAAGUUCAGUGUCUGCAUGCAGAGGGUGGAGAUACUGAAUGUUUGGAUGCAUUUUAGGCAGCCAUGACCCAGGAAGGAUCUCUAACAGCCAUCUGAGGAGUGGCCAGUGAGGUUAUCACUAGGCUGUAAUGUAAACACUGCAUUUUCUCUGAAAAGACGGUGUUUACAGCAAAAAGCCUGAAGGUAAUGAUUCUACUCACCAGAACAAAUUCAAUAAGCUGUAGUU
rnacentral:lncRNA from 1 species